UAUUACAGGAGGAAGAACUUCUAUUCCAUGAAGGAUAACCAUCUCAAUCCUUUGUUGGAUUUGGGUUGCGAAAAAAUAGAUAAGAAGGACUGUUCUACGCCCUUGCUCACCCCGGACAGCUAAUAAAUUGUACAGUAAGUAUAUGGAUUAUUAUUGCAGUUUUGUCUUUAUCUGGUAUCUGACUCACUGUUAUGUAGUUAUUGAACACUACAGUUAACUACCAACGACUACAUUUAAAAUACUGA
rnacentral:lncRNA from 1 species